rnacentral:rRNA from 1 species
UACGUAGGAGGCGAGCGUUAUCCGGAUUCACUGGGCGUAAAGAGCGCGCAGGCGGCUGCGCAAGUCGUGCGUGAAAUCUCCCGGCUCAACCGGGAGGGGUCGUGCGAUACUUCGCAGCUAGAGGUCAGAAGAGGAGAGUGGAAUUCCCGGUGUAGCGGUGAAAUGCGUAGAUAUCGGGAGAACACCAGUGGCGAAGGCGGCUCUCUGGUCUGCACCUGACGCUGAGGCGCGAAAGCGUGGGGAGCGAUCGGG